UCCGGCGCUGGUGGAAAAGUUAACAUUCGGCCCUGUGACGGUCGAGAUACGAGUGCGAAUCUCGUGCCCGGACC
rnacentral:tRNA from 1 species